AAACCAGCACCUCAAGUGGUCAGGAUGAUUAUUGGGCCUAAAGCAUCCGUAGCCGGCUCUGUAAGUUUUCGGUUAAAUCUGUACGCUUAACGUACAGGCUGCUGGGAAUACUGCAGAGCUAGGGAGUGGGAGAGGUAGACGGUACUCGGGAGGAAGUGGUAAACUGCUUUGAUCUCUCGAUGACCACCUGUGGCGAAGGCGGUCUACCAGAACACGUCCGACGGUGAGGGAUGAAAGCUGGGGGAGCAAACCGGAUUAGAAACCCCUGUAGUCC
rnacentral:rRNA from 1 species